rnacentral:lncRNA from 1 species
AUGGAAACAACAGUUGAUAGGUCUGUAGAAGACACGGCUUUGCUCAUUUCAAUACUGUGGUGCUGUACAACAUGGACGUUACCUGUGAGGCUGAAACUAAGUGAGAUGAAUACUACAUCUUUGACGCUGAGAAAACAUCAAAAUGCGUGCAGUCUCUCUGUCCACAUGAUUGGAAAUAUUCUCAAGUCAUUCAGGUUCAUCUAUGAUAAACUGUGGAUUUUUCCAGAAAGUCUUCAUUGCAGUGUUGGCACAACUUCCAUAUAAACUAUAUCUACGUUCAUGGGAGAACAGUGAGGGUAUGGUGAAGUAUGCAUUGGUACUUAGCGUUUCUGUCAAGAAUUGGUAAGCACUCUUCUGCUCACAUUUAUUUACCUAAACAACUUAUGAAAACAUUCUCGAGUUCAACAGAGUUGUGUUUUGUAUUCAACCUGCAGGAAAGGAU